rnacentral:rRNA from 1 species
CCUACGGGUGGCAGCAGUGAGGAAUAUUGGUCAAUGGGCGCGAGUCUGAACCAGCCAAGUAGCGUGAAGGAUGACUGCCCUACGGGUUGUAAACUUCUUUUAUAUAGGAAUAAAGUAAGGCACGUAUACCUUCUUGUAUGUACUAUAUGAAUAAGGAUCGGCUAACUCCGUGCCAGCAGCCGCGGUAAUACGGAGGAUCCGAGCGUUAUCCGGAUUUAUUGGGUUUAAAGGGAGCGUAGAUGGGUUGUUAAGUCAGUUGUGAAAGUUUGCGGCUCAACCGUAAAAUUGCAAUUGAUACUGGCAGUCUUGAGUACAGUAGAGGUAGGCGGAAUUCGUGGUGUAGCGGUGAAAUGCUUAGAUAUCACGAAGAACUCCGAUUGCGAAGGCAGCUUACUAAACUGCAACUGACAUUGAUGCUCGAAAGUGUGGGUAUCAAACAGGAUUAGAUACCCUUGUAGUC